rnacentral:rRNA from 1 species
GGUUGCGAUCAUACCAGCACUAAUGCACCGGAUCCCAUCAGAACUCCGCAGUUAAGCGUGCUUGGGCGAGAGUAGUACUAGGAUGGGUGACCCCCUGGGAAGUCCCUCGUGUUGCAACCC